rnacentral:lncRNA from 1 species
CUUUGUACUUGAAGUUCAUGUUGCGUGUGAUUAGACAGAAGCUGAUUGUAUAAACCUGCUUGCUAUUAUUAAUUUAAUUAACAAAAACAACUUUACUCUGACUAUGUAUCUUCUCUCCUUCCUCAAUGAAAGAUAAUUUCACAAAGUCUCCUGAUUGUUUCUCCUGUCCAUGUAAACCUUUGGGACAGGAUGGAACCUCUUGAACCUCUGUUCAUGCAUAUACAAUAUCUACUACUUCUGAAAAGUAGUAGAGCAGGGCAAAGAGAGGACCUGGAUUGUACCAGAAGAAACAUAGUGCUGUAGGUGUCUUCACAGAGGCUGAGAGAGGGUCCUGCCUCAAGAACCAAGCUUUCCUCCCAUUCCAUUGAUGCUCUCUUCAACCCUCUACUUAAGCAGAGAGUGGCCAGCUGGCACUGGUGACAGGACUGCUGCUCCUUGCAGAGCAGAGCAGUGCUGCAAUGGAUUUGCGGGGCUGCAGGGAAGGGGCCUCCCCUGUGCCAUAGUGGUGGUGGGCAGAUCACUUUCACUCCUUGCUACCAGCCUGAUGUAGGACCAGCCCAAAGUUUCUCCUUCAAGGGAAAGAUCCCUAUAAGUUAAGUUUUCUUUAAAAUGUAUGUUUUAACUAAACACAUGUGCUUUCAAUUUUUAUAAAAAUGUAUUGGCAUAUUUAUUCUAUUUUACUUGCUUCAUGGCUCUCUUCAAGGCAAAGCUUUCUUUUUCCAGCAGAAGAAAAGCUGCUCAUAUCAUCAUCUGCUUUAUGCUUGAGCCGUUUACUUUUUUUUUUUUUUUUUUAAUCUUGUCUCACUGUCUCUUUGAGGGUGUGUGCAAAUUUCAU